rnacentral:rRNA from 1 species
GUAGGGAAUAUUGCAAAUGGGCGAAAGCCUGAUGUAGCAACGCCGCGUGUGCGAUGAAGGUCUUCGGAUUGUAAAGCACUUUUUGGAGGGAUGAGGAGGACAGUACUUCCAGAAUAAGCCUCGGCUAACUACGUGCCAGCAGCCGCGGUAACACGUAGGAGGCAAGCGUUAUUCGGAUUUACUGGGCGUAAAGCGCGUGCAGGCGGUUUGGAAAGUUGGAUGUGAAAGCUCCUGGCUCAACUGGGAGAGGUCGUUCAAAACUUCCAGACUUGAGAGUGGUAGAGGGAGGUGGAAUUCCGGGUGUAGUGGUGAAAUGCGUAGAUAUCCGGAGGAACACCAGUGGCGAAAGCGGCCUCCUGGACCACUUCUGACGCUCAGACGCGAAAGCUAGGGUAGCAAACGG